rnacentral:rRNA from 1 species
AUACGGGGGGUGCAAGCGUUAUUCGGAUUUAUUGGGCGUAAAGAGCGCGUAGGCGGCUUGGUAAGUCAGAUGUGAAAGCCCGGGGCUCAACCCCGGAAGUGCAUUUGAAACUAUCAGGCUAGAGUAUGGGAGAGGGAAGUGGAAUUCCUGGUGUAGAGGUGAAAUUCGUAGAUAUCAGGAGGAACACCGGUGGCGAAGGCGACUUCCUGGACUAAUACUGACGCUGAGGCGCGAAGGCGUGGGGAGCAAACAGGAUUAGAAACCCUUGUAGUCC